rnacentral:rRNA from 1 species
AACGAACGCUGGCGGCGUGGAUUAGGCAUGCAAGUCGAACGCGAAAGAGGGAGCAAUCCCUCGAGUAGAGUGGCGAACGGGUGAGUAACGCGUGAAGAACCUGCCUUUGACAGGGGGAUAACACUCCCAACGGGGUGCUAAUACCGCAUGAGACCACGGGGUCGCAUGGCCCUGAGGUCAAAGGUGGCCUCUAUUUAUAAGCUACCGGUCGAAGAUGGCUUCGCGUCCCAUUAGCUAGUUGGCGGUGUAAGAGACCACCAAGGCGACGAUGGGUAGCUGGUCUGAGAGGAUGGUCAGCCACACUGGGACUGAGAUACGGCCCAGACUCCUACGGGAGGCAGCAGUCGAGAGGCUUCGGCAAUGGGGGAGACCCUGACCGAGCGACGCCGCGUGGAGGAUGAAGGCCCUUGGGUUGUAAACUCCUUUUGUUGGGGAAGAAAUGCGAUCAGGUGAACAAUCUGGUCGUUUGACGGUACCCGACGAAUAAGCUCCGGCUAACUCCGUGCC